GACGAACGCUGGCGGCGUGCCUAAUACAUGCAAGUCGAACGCUGAAGGAGGAGCUUGCUUCUCUGGAUGAGUUGCGAACGGGUGAGUAACGCGUAGGUAACCUGCCUGGUAGCGGGGGAUAACUAUUGGAAACGAUAGCUAAUACCGCAUAAGAGUAGAUGUCGCAUGACAUUUGCUUAAAAGGUGCAAUUGCAUCACUACCAGAUGGACCUGCGUUGUAUUAGCUAGUUGGUGAGGUAACGGCUCACCAAGGCAACGAUACAUAGCCGACCUGAGAGGGGGAUCGGCCACACUGGGACUGAGACACGGCCCAGACUCCUACGGGAGGCAGCAGUAGGGAAUCUUCGGCAAUGGACGGAAGUCUGACCGAGCAACGCCGCGUGAGUGAAGAAGGUGUUCGGAGCGUAAAGCUCUGUUGUAAGAGAAGAACGAGUGUGAGAGUGGAAAGGUCACACUGUGACGGUAUCUUACCAGAAAGGGACGGCUAACUACGUGC
rnacentral:rRNA from 1 species